rnacentral:rRNA from 1 species
ACGUAGGGUGCGAGCGUUAACCGGAAUUACUGGGCGUAAAGCGUGCGCAGGCGGUUUUUUAAGAGAGGCGUGAAAUCCCCGGGCUCAACCUUGGAAAUCCGCUGGGGACUGGGAGACUAGAGUACGGCAGAGGGGGGUGGAAUUCCACGUGUAGCAGUGAAAUGCGUAGAGAUGAGGAGGAACACCAAUGGCGAAGGCAGCUCCCUGGGUUGUAACUGACACUCAUGCACGAAAGCGUGGGGAGCAAACAG